rnacentral:rRNA from 1 species
AGGUUCGAUUCUGGCUCAGAUUGAACGCUGGCGGGAUGCUUUACAUGCAAGUCGAACGGCAGCACGGACUUCGGUCUGGUGGCGAGUGGCGAACGGGUGAGUAAUGUAUCAGACGUGCCCUAGUAGCGGGGGAUAACUACGCGAAAGCGUAGCUAAUACCACAUACGCCCUUCGGGGAAAGCGGGGGGACCUUCGAACCUCGCACUAUUAGAGCGGCCGAUAUCGGAUUAGCUAGUUGGUGGGGGUAACGGCUCACCAAGGCGACGAUCCGUAGCUGGUUUGAGAGGACGACCAGCCACACUGGGACUGAGACACGGCCAGACUCCUACAGGAGGCAGCAGUGGGGAAUUUUGGACAAUGGGGAAACCCUGAUCCAGCCAUCCCGCGUGUGCGAUGAAGGCCUUCGGGUUGUAAAGCACUUUGGCAGGAGAGCUUGGCACGGGAUAAUACCCGAUGCAACUGGCGAGUACCUGCAGAAUAAGCACCGGCUAACUACGUGCCAGCAGCCGCGGUAAUACGUAGGGUGCAAGCGUUAAUCGGAAUUACUGGGCGUAAAGCGUGCGCAGGCGGUUCCGGAAGAAAGAUGUGAAAUCCCAGAGCUUAACUUUGGAACUGCAUUUUUAACUACCGAGCUAGAGUGUGUCAGAGGGAGGUGGGUCCGCGUGUAGCAGUGAAAUGCGUAGAUAUGCGGAGGAACACACCGAUAGCGAGCAACCUCCUGGGAUAACGCUGACGCUCAUGUACGAAAGCGUGAGGGAGCAAACAGGAUUAGAUACCCUGGUAGUCCACGCCCUAAACGAUGUCAACUAGCUGUUGGGGCCUUCGGGCCUUGGUAGCGCAGCUAACGCGUGAAGUUGACCGCCUGGGAGUACAGUCGCAAGAUUAAAACUCAAAAUUGACGGGGACCCGCACAAGCGGUGGAUGAUGUGGAUUAAUUCGAUGCAACGCGAAAAACCUUACCUACCCUUGACAUAUCUGGAAUCCCGAAGAGAUUUGGGAGUGCUCGCAAGAGAACCGGAACACAGGUGCUGCAUGGCUGUCGUCAGCUCGUGUCGUGAGAUGUUGGGUUAAGUCCCGCAACGAGCGCAACCCUUGUCAUUAGUUGCUACGAAGGGCACUCUAAUGAGACUGCCGGUGACAAACCGGAGGAAGGUGGGGAUGACGUCAAGUCCUCAUGGCCCAUAUGGGUAGGGCUUCACACGUCAUACAAUGGUCGGGACAGAGGGUCGCCAACCCGCGAGGGGGAGCCAAUCCCAGAAACCCGAUCGUAGUCCGGAUCGCAGUCUGCAACUCGACUGCGUGAAGUCGGAAUCGCUAGUAAUCGCGGAUCAGCAUGUCGCGGUGAAUACGUUCCCGGGUCUUGUACACACCGCCCGUCACACCAUGGGAGUGGGUUUUACCAGAAGUAGUUAGCCUAACCGUAAGGAGGCGAUUACCACGGUAAGUUCAUGACUGGGUGAAGUCGUAACAAGGUAA